AAUGAACGCUGGCGGCGUGCCUAACACAUGCAAGUCGUGCGCGAAAGGGGCUUCGGCCCCGAGUAGAGCGGCAGACGGGUGAGUAACACGUGGGUAACCUGCCCAGAAGUGGGGGAUAACCUGGGGAAACUCGGGCUAAUACCGCAUACGUUCGCGGGGUUCUGCUCCGCGAGGAAAGCCGGCCUAUGCUUGCAAGCUGGCGCUUUUGGAGGGGCCCGCGGCUGAUUAGCUUGUUGGUGGGGUAAUGGCCUACCAAGGCGACGAUCAGUAGCCGGCCUGAGAGGGUGAACGGCCACACUGGAACUGAGACACGGUCCAGACUCCUACGGGAGGCAGCAGUGGGGAAUAUUGGACAAUGGGCGCAAGCCUGAUCCAGCAACGCCGCAUGGGUGAAGAAAUCCCUCGGGAUGUAAAGCCCUGUUGUAUGGGAAGAGCAGAAGACGGUACCAUACGAGGAAGCCCCGGCAAACUACGUG
rnacentral:rRNA from 1 species